CAAAGAACUUUGAAGAGAGAGUUCAAUAGGACGUGAAACCGUACUGAGAAUAAACGUGCGAGUUAAGACGUUGACGUUGAUUCAGCAAUACAGCAAUGUAUUGUGCAUUUCUACGUCGCGGCAGCCGGGGAGCGGCGUACUCUGACGUGUCGUGUGGCGGGCUGGUUCACGCCAGUGUCCUGCACGGUGUCGACGGUACAAAGCUCCUUUGACGGGCACCGAUAUUUCGUGGCGGGUCCACGCUGGUACGCCUUCCAGGGGUCAGACUUGCUCUGGGGUUUGGAUGGAGUUCUACGUUUGGAACACGCGAGUGGUGUGCUCGGUUGCCAGAGUUUGAUCUUGCACGACCCGUCUUGAAACACGGACCAAGGAGUCUAGAUUGUGCGCGAGCCAUUGGAUACCUAUCUCCAUAGGCGCAACGAAUGUGAUGAGGUUGGAUCAUUUGCGCACCUCAAACGUGUGCUGCGUUCGCGUAGCGCUCAGUAUGAGUGCACAGACUAGUACCCGAAAGAUGGUGAACUAUGCUUGAGCAGGACGAAGCUAGAGGAAACUCUGGUGGAAGUCCGAAGCGGUUCUGACGUGCAAAUCGAUCGUCAGACUUGAGUAUAGGGGCGAAAGACUAAUCGAACCAUC
rnacentral:rRNA from 1 species